rnacentral:rRNA from 1 species
CCUGCCUUUGUAGUGCUCACACAGAUUGUUUGAUAAAUAAUAAAUUUCAAAAUGUACUGCGAAGUGCAUUGUGAAAUUUUGCUCUUUAAAAAUCUGGAUCAAGCUGAAAAUUGAAACGACACACUGUUUAAGUGUGUUCGAGUCUCUCAAAUUUUCGCAAUCAGAAGUGAAACAUCUUCGGGUUGUGAGGUUAAGCGACUAAGCGUACACGGUGGAUGCCCUGGCAGUCAGAGGCGAUGAAGGACGUGCUAAUCUGCGAAAAGCGUCGGUAAGGUGAUAUGAACCGUUANNNNNNNNNNNNNNNNUGUGAACUCGAAGAGUAGGGCGGGACACGUGGUAUCCUGUCUGAAUAUGGGGGGACCAUCCUCCAAGGCUAAAUACUCCUGACUGACCGAUAGUGAACCAGUACCGUGAGGGAAAGGCGAAAAGAACCCCGGCGAGGGGAGUGAAAAAGAACCUGAAACCGUGUACGUACAAGCAGUGGGAGCACCUUCGGGUGUGACUGCGUACCUUUUGUAUAAUGGGUCAGCGACUUAUAUUCUGUAGCAAGGUUAACCGUAUAGGGGAGCCGCAGGGAAACCGAGUCUUAACUGGGCGUUAAGUUGCAGGGUAUAGACCCGAAACCCGGUGAUCUAGCCAUGGGCAGGUUGAAGGUUGGGUAACACUAACUGGAGGACCGAACCGACUAAUGUUGAAAAAUUAGCGGAUGACUUGUGGCUGGGGGUGAAAGGCCAAUCAAACCGGGAGAUAGCUGGUUCUCCCCGAAAGCUAUUUAGGUAGCGCCUCGUGAACUCAUCUUCGGGGGUAGAGCACUGUUUCGGCUAGGGGGUCAUCCCGACUUACCAACCCGAUGCAAACUACGAAUACCGAAGAAUGUUAUCACGGGAGACACACGGCGGGUGCUAACGUCCGUCGUGAAGAGGGAAACAACCCAGACCGCCAGCUAAGGUCCCAAAGUCAUGGUUAAGUGGGAAACGAUGUGGGAAGGCACAGACAGCCAGGAUGUUGGCUUAGAAGCAGCCAUCAUUUAAAGAAAGCGUAAUAGCUCACUGGUCGAGUCGGCCUGCGCGGAAGAUGUAACGGGGCUAAACCAUGCACCGAAGCUGCGGCAGCGACACUAUGUGUUGUUGGGUAGGGGAGCGUUCUGUAAGCCUGCGAAGGUGUGCUGUGAGGCAUGCUGGAGGUAUCAGAAGUGCGAAUGCUGACAUAAGUAACGAUAAAGCGGGUGAAAAGCCCGCUCGCCGGAAGACCAAGGGUUCCUGUCCAACGUUAAUCGGGGCAGGGUGAGUCGACCCCUAAGGCGAGGCCGAAAGGCGUAGUCGAUGGGAAACAGGUUAAUAUUCCUGUACUUGGUGUUACUGCGAAGGGGGGACGGAGAAGGCUAUGUUAGCCGGGCGACGGUUGUCCCGGUUUAAGCAUGUAGGCUGNAAAUCGUACCCCAAACCGACACAGGUGGUCAGGUAGAGAAUACCAAGGCGCUUGAGAGAACUCGGGUGAAGGAACUAGGCAAAAUGGUGCCGUAACUUCGGGAGAAGGCACGCUGGUGUGUAGGUGAAGUCCCUGCGGAUGGAGCUGAGACCAGUCGAAGAUACCAGCUGGCUGCAACUGUUUAUUAAAAACACAGCACUGUGCAAACACGAAAGUGGACGUAUACGGUGUGACGCCUGCCCGGUGCCGGAAGGUUAAUUGAUGGGGUUAUCCGUAAGGAGAAGCUCUUGAUCGAAGCCCCGGUAAACGGCGGCCGUAACUAUAACGGUCCUAAGGUAGCGAAAUUCCUUGUCGGGUAAGUUCCGACCUGCACGAAUGGCGUAAUGAUGGCCAGGCUGUCUCCACCCGAGACUCAGUGAAAUUGAACUCGCUGUGAAGAUGCAGUGUACCCGCGGCAAGACGGAAAGACCCCGUGAACCUUUACUAUAGCUUGACACUGAACAUUGAGCCUUGAUGUGUAGGAUAGGUGGGAGGCUUUGAAGCGUGGACGCCAGUCUGCGUGGAGCCAACCUUGAAAUACCACCCUUUAAUGUUUGAUGUUCUAACGUUGGCCCCUGACCGGGGUUGCGGACAGUGUCUGGUGGGUAGUUUGACUGGGGCGGUCUCCUCCCAAAGCGUAACGGAGGAGCACGAAGGUUAGCUAAUCCUGGUCGGACAUCAGGAGGUUAGUGCAAUGGCAUAAGCUAGCUUGACUGCGAGCGUGACGGCGCGAGCAGGUGCGAAAGCAGGUCAUAGUGAUCCGGUGGUUCUGAAUGGAAGGGCCAUCGCUCAACGGAUAAAAGGUACUCCGGGGAUAACAGGCUGAUACCGCCCAAGAGUUCAUAUCGACGGCGGUGUUUGGCACCUCGAUGUCGGCUCAUCACAUCCUGGGGCUGAAGUAGGUCCCAAGGGUAUGGCUGUUCGCCAUUUAAAGUGGUACGCGAGCUGGGUUUAGAACGUCGUGAGACAGUUCGGUCCCUAUCUGCCGUGGGCGCUGGAGAAUUGAGGGGGGCUGCUCCUAGUACGAGAGGACCGGAGUGGACGCAUCACUGGUGUUCGGGUUGUCAUGCCAAUGGCACUGCCCGGUAGCUAAAUGCGGAAGAGAUAAGUGCUGAAAGCAUCUAAGCACGAAACUUGCCCCGAGAUGAGUUCUCCCUGAGACUUUAAGUCUCCUGAAGGAACGUUNGACGUUGAUAGGCCGGGUGUGUAAGCGCAGCGAUGCGUUGAGCUAACCGGUACUAAUGAACCGUGAGGCUUAACCUU